GAUGAACGCUGGCGGCGUGCCUAAUACAUGCAAGUCGAGCGAACGGACGAGAAGCUUGCUUUUCUGAUGUUAGCGGCGGACGGGUGAGUAACACGUGGAUAACCUACCUAUAAGACUGGGAUAACUUCGGGAAACCGGAGCUAAUACCGGAUAAUAUUUUGAACCGCAUGGUUCAAAAGUGAAAGACGGUCUUGCUGUCACUUAUAGAUGGAUCCGCGCUGCAUUAGCUAGUUGGUAAGGAACGGCUUACCAGGGCAACGAUGCAUAGCCGACCUGAGAGGGUGAUCGGCCACACUGGAACUGAGACACGGUCCAGACUCCUACGGGAGGCAGCAGUAGGGAAUCUUCCGCAAUGGGCGAAAGCCUGACGGAGCAACGCCGCGUGAGUGAUGAAGGUCUUCGGAUCGUAAAACUCUGUUAUUAGGGAAGAACAUAUGUGUAAGUAACUGUGCACACCUUGACGGUACCUAAUCAGAAAGCCACGGCUAACUACGUG
rnacentral:rRNA from 1 species